UGGGGAAUAUUGCACAAUGGGGGAAACCCUGAUGCAGCGACGCCGCGUGAACGAAGAAGGUAUUCGUAUCGUAAAGUUCUGUCCUAUGGGAAGAUAAUGACAGUACCAUAGAAGAAAGCUCCGGCUAAAUACGUGUCAGCAGCCGCGGUAAUACGUAUGGAGCGAGCGUUGUCCGGAAUUAUUGGGCGUAAAGGGUACGCAGGCGGUUUAAUAAGUCGAAUGUUAAAGAUCGGGGCUCAACCCCGCAAAGCAUUGGAAACUGAUAAACUUGAGUAGUGGAGAGGAAAGUGGAAUUCCUAGUGUAGUGGUGAAAUACGUAGAUAUUAGGAGGAAUACCAGUAGCGAAGGCGACUUUCUGGACACAAACUGACGCUGAGGUACGAAAGCGUGGGGAGCAAACAGG
rnacentral:rRNA from 1 species